rnacentral:lncRNA from 1 species
AUCUUUUUAUUGAAAACCUAAUGUACAACCCAAUUUUAGCCCGAGCCAACACCAAAUGAACCCAAACCAAAUCAAACACAAAAAAACGAAACCCAAAUAAUAGUCCAGUUCAGAUUACAAUACUAGCCCAAAUUAAAAUGUAAAACCCAAGUUACAAGCCCAAAGCCCGACGGCCCAAAACAUUAACUAAGUUUCAGUAAAACACAACUGAAACCCUAACCCUAAUGCUCCUGCACCGCUCCC